GAUGAACGCUAGCUACAGGCUUAACACAUGCAAGUCGAGGGGCAGCAUGGUCUUAGCUUGCUAAGGCCGAUGGCGACCGGCGCACGGGUGAGUAACACGUAUCCAACCUGCCGUCUACUCUUGGACAGCCUUCUGAAAGGAAGAUUAAUACAAGAUGGCAUCAUGAGUCCGCAUGUUCACAUGAUUAAAGGUAUUCCGGUAGACGAUGGGGAUGCGUUCCAUUAGAUAGUAGGCGGGGUAACGGCCCACCUAGUCUUCGAUGGAUAGGGGUUCUGAGAGGAAGGUCCCCCACAUUGGAACUGAGACACGGUCCAAACUCCUACGGGAGGCAGCAGUGAGGAAUAUUGGUCAAUGGGCGAGAGCCUGAACCAGCCAAGUAGCGUGAAGGAUGACUGCCCUAUGGGUUGUAAACUUCUUUUAUAAAGGAAUAAAGUCGGGUAUGGAUACCCGUUUGCAUGUACUUUAUGAAUAAGGAUCGGCUAACUCCGUGCCAGCAGCCGCGGUAAUACGGAGGAUCCGAGCGUUAUCCGGAUUUAUUGGGUUUAAAGGGAGCGUAGAUGGAUGUUUAAGUCAGUUGUGAAAGUUUGCGGCUCAACCGUAAAAUUGCAGUUGAUACUGGAUAUCUUGAGUGCAGUUGAGGCAGGCGGAAUUCGUGGUGUAGCGGUGAAAUGCUUAGAUAUCACGAAGAACUCCGAUUGCGAAGGCAGCCUGCUAAGCUGCAACUGACAUUGAGGCUCGAAAGUGUGGGUAUCAAACAGGAUUAGAUACCCUGGUAGUCCACACGGUAAACGAUGAAUACUCGCUGUUUGCGAUAUACUGCAAGCGGCCAAGCGAAAGCGUUAAGUAU
rnacentral:rRNA from 1 species